rnacentral:rRNA from 1 species
UACGUAGGGGGCUAGCGUUGUCCGGAAUCACUGGGCUUAAAGCGCGUGUAGGCGGGAGGGCACGUCCGUCGCUGAAAUCCCCCGGCUCAACCGGGGAACGGGCGCGGAUACGACCUUCCUGGAGGGGCGUAGGGGGACCUGGAACUUCCGGUGGAGCGGUGAAAUGCGUUGAGAUCGGAAGGAACGCCCGUGGCGAAAGCGAGGUCCUGGACGCCUACCGACGCUGAGACGCGAAAGCCAGGGGAGCGAACGGG